ensembl:snRNA U6 U6 spliceosomal RNA
GUGCUUUCUUUGGCAACACAUAUAUCAAAAUUAGAAUGACACAGAGAAGAUUAGCAUGGCUCCAAUGCAUGGAUGGCAAACAAAUUUGCAAUGCAUUCCAUAUUUUU